AAUGAACGCUGGCGGCAUGCCUUACACAUGCAAGUCGAACGGCAGCAUGACCUAGCUUGCUAGGUUGAUGGCGAGUGGCGAACGGGUGAGUAAUGCAUCGGAACGUGCCUUUUAGUGGGGGAUAACGUAGCGAAAGUUACGCUAAUACCGCAUAUUCUCUGUGGAGGAAAGCAGGGGACCUUCGGGCCUUGCGCUAGAAGAGCGGCCGAUGUCGGAUUAGCUAGUUGGUGAGGUAAAGGCUCACCAAGGCAACGAUCCGUAGCGGGUCUGAGAGGAUGAUCCGCCACACUGGGACUGAGACACGGCCCAGACUCCUACGGGAGGCAGCAGUGGGGAAUUUUGGACAAUGGGCGCAAGCCUGAUCCAGCCAUGCCGCGUGAGUGAAGAAGGCCUUCGGGUUGUAAAGCUCUUUCGGCUGGGAAGAAAUCGCACCCUCUAAUACAGGGUGUGGAUGACGGUACCAGCAUAAGAAGCACCGGCUAACUACGUG
rnacentral:rRNA from 1 species